rnacentral:rRNA from 1 species
UACGUAGGGGUGCAAGCGUUGUCCGGAAUUUAUUGGGCGUAAAGAGCUCGUAGGCGGUCCGUCACGUCGGCUGUGAAAAACCUGGGGCUCAACCCCGGGCCUGCAGCCGAUACGGGCGGACUAGAAUUCGGUAGGGGAGACUGGAAUUCCUGGUGUAGCGGUGAAAUGCGCAGAUAUCAGGAGGAACACCGGUGGCGAAGGCGGGUCUCUGGGCC